CGGGUGAGUAACACGUGAGUGACCUGCCUUUUAGACUGGAACAACUUACCGAAAGGUGAGCUAAUGCCGGAUGAGUUAUAUAAGUGCAUGUUUAUAUAGGAAAAGUUGGGGAGACCUGACGCUGAAAGAUGGACUCGCGUCCCAUUAGCUAGUUGGUAGGGUAAUGGCCUACCAAGACGACGAUGGGUAGCCGGCCUGAGAGGGUGGCCGGCCACACUGGGACUGAGACACGGCCCAGACUCCUACGGGAGGCAGCAG
rnacentral:rRNA from 1 species